AGUAAAGUCAGCUAAUAAAGCUCUUGGGCCCAUACCCCAAAUAUGUUGGUUAGAGUCCUUCCCUUACUA
rnacentral:tRNA from 1 species